rnacentral:rRNA from 1 species
AGGCUACUGCUAUUGGAAUUCGACUAAGCCAUGCGAGUCAAGGUGUCUUCGGACGCCGGCAAACGGCUCAGUAACACGUAGGUAAUCUACCCUCAGGACUGAGAUAACCCCGGGAAACUGGGGCUAAUACCAGAUAGAUAAAAGAUACUGGAAUGUUCUUUUAUCCAAAGCUUUUGUGCCUGAGGAUGAGCCUGCGCCCGAUUAGGUAGUUGGUGGGGUAAUGGCCCACCAAGCCUGCGAUCGGUACGGGCAGUGGGAGCUGUGGCCCGGAGUUGGGGACUGAGACAAGGCCCCAGGCCCUACGGGGCGCAGCAGGCGCGAAACCUCUGCAAUGCGGAAAACCGUGACAGGGGGAUUCCAAGUGCUCAUGCAUUGCAUGGGCUGUUCUUUGGUCUAAGUAACCAGAGGAGUAAGGGCUGGGCAAGACCGGUGCCAGCCGCCGCGGUAAUACCGGCAGCUCGAGUGGUAGCCGCGAUUAUUGGGCCUAAAACGUUCGUAGCCGGAUAAGUAAGUCUUUGGUUAAAUCCUACGACUUAACCGUGGGAAAUCUAGAGAUACUGCUUGUCUUGAGACCGGGAGAGGUUNNNGGUACUCCCAGGGUAGNGGUGNAAUCCUAUAAUCCCGGGAAGNNCACCAGUGGCGAAGGCUGUCUGCUAGAACGCGCCCGACGGUGAGGGAUGAAAGCUGGGGGAGCGAACCGGAUUAGAUACCCGGGUAGUCCCAGCUGUAAACGAUGCAGGCUAGGUGUUUGGACGGCCACGUGCCGUUCUAGUGCCGCAGGGAAGCUGUUAAGCCUGCCGCCUGGGGAGUACGAUCGCAAGAUUGAAACUUAAAGGAAUUGGCGGGGGAGCACCACAAGGGGUGAAGCUUGCGGUUUAAUUGGAGUCAACGCCGGAAAUCUCACCGGGAGCGACAGCAGUGUGAAGGCCAGAUUAAAGGUCUUGCCAGACGAGCUGAGAGGAGGUGCAUGGCCGUCGCCAGUUCGUGCCGUGAGGUGUCCUGUUAAGUCAGGCAACGAUCGAGACCCGCGUCCUCUGUUGCUACUAGCCUUGUGCUGGGCACACUGAGGAGACCGCCACUGAUAAAGUGGAGGAAGGAGCGGGCCACGGCAGGUCAGUAUGCCCCGAAUCUCCCGGGCCACACGCGAGCUGCAAUGGCAGGUACAAUGAGUUCCGACCUCGAAAGGGGGAGGCAAUCUCGAAAGCCUGCCGUAGUUGGGAUCGAAGGCUGCAACCCGCCUUCGUGAACAUGGAAUCCCUAGUAAUCGCGUGUCAUCAGCGCGCGGUGAAUACGUCCCUGCUCCU